rnacentral:rRNA from 1 species
UACGUAGGGGGCAAGCGUUGUCCGGAAUCAUUGGGCGUAAAGCGCGCGUAGGCGGCCCGGUAAGUCCGCUGUAAAAGUCCAGGGCUCAACCCUGGAAAGCCGGUGGAUACUGUCGGGCUAGAGUCCGGAAGAGGCGAGUGGAAUUCCAGGUGUAGCGGUGAAAUGCGUAGAUAUCUGGAGGAACACCGGUGGCGAAGGCGGCAUCCUGGACCGGCAUUGACGCUGAGGAGCGAAAGCCAGGGGAGCAAACGGG